AUGUCUCACACCAGGGCUUGCAAAGCACGCUCAGCUCUGCGGCAGGGGCUCGCUUUGCUUUUUUUCCUGAACAACCCAUCCCACCCUGCCAGGAGCCCUCUAAAAGUGCCGCCUGCUCCCGGUUGCGGCUGCUUCGGCAGGAAGCUGGCGAGGGCUAUUCCCGUCUCCGAGGGGAAAGGCCUCAAAGAGGAAUAUUCCAGAAGCAGCGCUCCCCAAGAACCGCCGUGUCACCGGAGGAAACGCUUACAAACGCCUCUUCCUCCAGCCUCCUCACCAGCGGCGCUCGAGCGCGCCCCAGCUUCCUGCCCUGCCUCCCCGAGCGCUCCCGCGUCCCCCCGCGGGCACCGGCCGGGCUCUGCCCGCAGCAGGGCUCGCUGGCCGCUUCCCUCCCGGCCGCCCCGAGCGAACGUCCCGCGGUGCAACCCACGCCUGCUGGGUUUAGGCUGGUGCUCCCGGGGCGGCGGAAGCGCGCGCGAGGGAGCCGCCGGCCCCGCCGCCGUGACGCCGCGCUCUCUGCGGGAGCGGAGGGACGGAGCCGCGCGCAGGGACGGCCGACGCCGGAAGCGUGAGCAAGCGAGACAUACGGAAAGUGCAUCGUCAGAGCAUCAAGCAGGAAUGGGCACUCGGGAGCAUCACCCACCUCUGCUCUUCCCAGCAAGGGAAUCACUGAGCUCUGCUCAGCAGCCUGGACAAGGAAGAUCAGUGCCUCAUCCUCCCCAGCAAAUGCUGACCUUUGCAUCCUCCGCGACUUUAUCCCAUUCUCUGAAAGAAGCAUGAAAGAGUACAUCACCCCAUGAGCUACUGUCAGGAGAAGUUUUCUAGAUGUCCAAUUUACCUGGGGAGAAUUCAGCUAUGUCCAAAAACCUGAUCUGACCUGGAACCAUUUGUCCCAAACGCACCAGGGACAACAGCCAGACCCUGAAGCCGCUAACGCUGG
rnacentral:lncRNA from 1 species